AUUGAACGCUGGCGGCAGGCCUAACACAUGCAAGUCGAACGAGUGGCGGACGGGUGAGUAAUGUCUGAGAACCUGCCUGAUGGAGGGGGAUAACUACUGGAAACGGUAGCUAAUACCGCAUACCAUCGGAUGUGCCCAGAGGGGAUUAGCUAGUCGGUGGGGAAAAGGCUCACCAAGGCGACGAUCCCUAGCUGGUCUGAGAGGAUGACCGGCCACACGGGAACGGAGACACGGUCCAGACUCCUACGGGAGGCAGCAGUGGGGAAUAUUGGACAAUGGGCGAAAGUCUGACGCAGCCAGGCCGCGUGAAUGAAGAAGGCCUUCGGGUUGUAAAGUACUUUCAGCGGGGAGGCGUUACCUACCGAAGAAGCACCGGCUAACUCCGUGCCAGCAGCCGCGGUAAUUC
rnacentral:rRNA from 1 species